AGAAAAAGAGGUUUAAUGGACUCACAGUUCCACGUGGCUGGGGAGGUCUCACAAUCAUGAUCGAAGGUGAAAGACACGUCUUACAAGGCAGAAAGAGAACGAGAACCAAGCUGGCUGCAGUGAGCCAUGAUCCCACCACUAUACUCCAGCCUGGGUAGCAGAGCAAGAAGACCCUGUCUCUUAAAAAAAGAGCAAGUUUUCAUGAACGACCCAAACAGAAUUUUUAAGAAUACAUUUAUUUAGUUUGUAUAAGUGUGAUAAAAAUUAUAUGAAUGAAUAGGCUUUUGAACAAUUAUCUUUUAAAAUAUGUAUGCUUUUUUAGAGUCAACAAUGUGUUUUAUUAUACAUCUUAGAUUUAUACAUUUCAUAUAUGCUUUUAAAGCUUUAAUUAACAGUGCAAUACAAAAUUUAAAAACAAAUAUAUGCAGCAGUGGUUUUCAGGCACCGCAUUUAGGAGGAGACAGGAGCAAGUCUUUCCCUAGCAUACACAUAGCGAAUAUUAUGAACCAUAACAGUGGCUAUGACUCCUUCUGACCUCGCUGCCUUUUUGACUGAAUUUUGUUACAGUGAGCAGCUUUCAUAGGUAGGAUAUUGCUAACUGGAAACAAUGGGAUUUAGAAUAAAUUGAUAACCUGUAUUUUCUUGAAUCUUUAAGACCUAAAAUGAUUAAUUUUCUCCUAAUAGAUCUCCAGAAUCAUCCAAUGAAAAUAAUAUUGUCCAUAAAGCAUCUAGAGUAUCUGCCCAAGAACCACUGCCCAGGGUUAUUCAAUGUCUUCAGGCCUCACAGGAUGAGGUGUUCCAGUUGCUUGCUGAAAGGGUGCCAGGAUCUGUGUGAUUUCCUGUGUGGUGACCCACUGCACCGGCUGAAACAACAGCACUGCCUGCGAAUCUCCUGGCCAGCUUAAAAGGGCAAUGAGACCAGUGUAUUUUGUAUGGAGAGCUGCCGCACCACAGAGCCAGCAAAACAGCCGCACCAGCUAAAACAGCCACGCUGGCCAAAACAGCCAUGCUGGCGACCUGUAGGGCUCUUCUGCCUAGGAAUCUCCUGGUCUGUGGGCAAUAAAUAUCCAUCUGGAAAUGCGGUGUCCA
rnacentral:lncRNA from 13 species